rnacentral:rRNA from 1 species
AGUGAACGCUGGCGGUAGGCCUAACACAUGCAAGUCGAACGGCAGCACAGUAAGAGCUUGCUCUUACGGGUGGCGAGUGGCGGACGGGUGAGGUAUACAUCGGAAUCUACUUUUUCGUGGGGGAUAACGUAGGGAAACUUACGCUAAUACCGCAUAUGACCUACGGGUGAAAGCAGGGGAUCUUCGGACCUUGCGCGAUUGAAUGAGCCGAUGUCGGAUUAGCUAGUUGGCGGGGUAAAGGCCCACCAAGGCGACGAUCCGUAGCUGGUCUGAGAGGAUGAUCAGCCACACUGGAACUGAGACACGGUCCAGACCCCUACGGGAGGCAGCAGUGGGGAAUAUUGGACAAUGGGCGCAAGCCUGAUCCAGCCAUACCGCGUGGGUGAAGAAGGCCUUCGGGUUGUAAAGCCCUUUUGUUGGGAAAGAAAAGCAGCAGGUUAAUACCCCGCUGUUCUGACGGUACCCAAAGAAUAAGCACCGGCUAACUUCGUG